AGAAUCAACGCUGGCGGCGUGCCUAACACAUGCAAGUCGCACGAGAAAGUGGAGCAAUCCACGAGUAAAGUGGCGCACGGGUGAGUAACACGUGAAUGAUCUACCUCCGAGUGGGGAAUAACUGAGAGAAAUCUUAGCUAAUACCGCAUAAUACCCACGGGUCAAAGUAGCAAUGCGCUUGGAGAGGAGUUCGCGGCCGAUUAGCUAGUUGGCGGGGUAAUGGCCCACCAAGGCGAUGAUCGGUA
rnacentral:rRNA from 1 species